rnacentral:rRNA from 1 species
GACGAACGCUGGCGGCGUGCUUAACACAUGCAAGUCGAGCGGUAAGGCCCUUUCGGGGGUACACGAGCGGCGAACGGGUGAGUAACACGUGGGUGACCUGCCCUCAGCUCUGGGAUAAGCCUGGGAAACCGGGUCUAAUACUGGAUAUGACUCCAUGACGCAUGUUGUGGGGUGGAAAGCCUUGUGCGGCUGAGGAUGGGCCCGCGGCCUAUCAGCUUGUUGGUGGGGUGANGGCCUACCAAGGCGACGACGGGUAGCCGGCCUGAGAGGGCGACCGGCCACACUGGGACUGAGACACGGCCCAGACUCCUACGGGAGGCAGCAGUGGGGAAUCUUGCGCAAUGGGCGAAAGCCUGACGCAGCGACGCCGCGUGAGGGAUGACGGCCUCGGUUGUAACCGUAC